rnacentral:rRNA from 1 species
GACGAACGCUGGCGGCGUGCUUAACACAUGCAAGUCGAACGGAAAGGCCCUGCUUUUGUGGGGUGCUCGAGUGGCGAACGGGUGGGUAACACGUGAGUAACCUGCCCUUGACUUUGGGAUAACUUCAGGAAACUGGGGCUAAUACCGGAUAGGAGCUCCUGCUGCAUGGUGGGGGUUGGAAAGUUUCGGCGGUUGGGGAUGGACUCGCGGCUUAUCAGCUUGUUGGUGGGGUAGUGGCUUACCAAGGCUUUGACGGGUAGCCGGCCUGAGAGGGUGACCGGCCACAUUGGGACUGAGAUACGGCACAGACUCCUACGGGAGGCAGCAGUGGGGAAUAUUGCACAAUGGGCGGAAGCCUGAUGCAGCAACGCCGCGUGCGGGAUGACGGCCUUCGGGUUGUAAACCGCUUUCGCCUGUGACGAAGCGUGAGUGACGGUAAUGGGUAAAGAAGCACCGGCUAACUACGUG